ensembl:lncRNA
CUCUGCAGGUGCAAAGCCAGAUCCCCACAAAAACAGUGCCUUGUAGGUAAUAAAUGACUUGCACUGUUUUAUUGGCAGGCGAUCCUGUAGGAGCUCUAAGGACCAAAGUGCUGGGGAACCUCUCCACAGAUGGGAUGUGCACGUGGGCCGUUCCCAGGCUGGAGGUGUGGGUGCAGCGGCACAGCUCAGGGCUGCCAACCUCUGAAGGGAUCUAACCCACCUGUGCUGUAUCUCAGAAGCACAGGGACUGGAAGGGAGCUCUGAGAUCACCCAUUCCAACCCGUGCUACAGCAGGUUCCUACAGCAGGUCACACGGGAAGGCAUCCAGGUGGGUUUUGAAUCCCUCCAGAAAAGGAGCUCUCUGGACAGGCUGUUCCAGUGCUCGGUCACCCCCACAGAAGUUCCUCCUCAUGUUUUAUGGAGUUUCCUGCGUUGCAGUUUGUCCCAUUGUCCCUCAUUCUGUUGCUGGGCAUUAAUGAAGAGAGAGUGGCCCCGUCCAUUUGACGCCCACCCUUUAGAUAUUCAGAAGCACUGAUAAGAUCCCUCCUCAGUCUCCUCCAGGCCGACCAUCCCCAUCCUCUCAGCCUUUCCUCCUAAGGAGACGCUCCGGGCCCCGCACAGCUUUGUUGCCAUCCCCUGGAGCCUCUCCAGACGUUCCCUGUCCAUCUUCAACCGAGGAGCCCAGAACUGGGCACGGUACUCCUAAUCCAUUACGGCUGUCCUUCUCGUGUGGUGCUCACGUACACUUUCAGGUUAAAAUCUUCAGUUCUUCCUGAGUCAGUCUCUGUCAGUCCCCGCUCUGCGUGGUUCGUACCGACCCGGCGCCCCCCCCGGAUCAGCCAGCCGAGGCUCCCCACGCUCCCGCUGCCAGCGAAGCAACGCAGCGAACGCCUGCGGCCUGUGCUCGUCCCAACCGGCUCUCAUCUCUUGUCCAGAGGCUUUCCGACACCUAGAAAUUAAGAAAUGCCUACCAGGGGGCUACGAGGGGGCGGUACGAAGGGGACGGGACGCGACGCGACGCGACGC